AUGUACGGUGGUACGGAUCUGAAAGGUGAAGGACCCGGUCUUCGGACUGGGAGCGUACACAGGUGCUGCAUGGCUGUCGUCAGCUCGUGUCGUGAGAUGUUGGGUUAAGUCCCGCAACGAGCGCAACCCUUGCCUUUAGUUGCCAGCAGUUCGGCUGGGCACUCUAAAGGGACUGCCGGUGUUAAACCGGAGGAAGGCGGGGAUGACGUCAAGUCCUCAUGGCCUUUAUGACCAGGGCUACACACGUACUACAAUGGCCGAUACAAAGGGCAGCGACACUGCGAGGUGAAGCCAAUCCCGUAAAAUCGGUCUCAGUCCGGAUUGGAGUCUGCAACUCGACUCCAUGAAGUUGGAAUCGCUAGUAAUCGUGGAUCAGCAUGCCACGGUGAAUACGUUCCCGGGCCUU
rnacentral:rRNA from 1 species